GAUGAACGCUGGCGGCGUGCCUAAUACAUGCAAGUCGAGCGAACAGACGAGGAGCGUGCUCCUCUGACGUUAGCGGCGGACGGGUGAGUAACACGUGGAUAACCUACCUAUAAGACUGGGUUAACUUCGGGAAACCGGAGCUAAUACCGGAUAAUAUAUUGAACCGCAUGGUUCAAUAGUGAAAGACGGUUUUGCUGGCACUUAUAGAUGGAUCCGCGCCGCAUUAGCUAGUUGGUAAGGUAACGGCUUACCAAGGCAACGAUGCGUAGCCGACCUGAGAGGGUGAUCGGCCACACUGGAACUGAGACACGGUCCAGACUCCUACGGGAGGCAGCAGUAGGGAAUCUUCCGCAAUGGGCGAAAGCUUGACGGAGCAACGCCGCGUGAGUGAUGAAGGUCUUCGGAUCGUAAAACUCUGUUAUUAGGGAAGAACAAAUGUGUAAGUAACUAUGCACGUCUUGACGGUACCUAAUCAGAAAGCCACGGCUAACUACGUG
rnacentral:rRNA from 1 species